rnacentral:lncRNA from 1 species
AAUUCACUCAGGGCCUAAGAGCUUUGGGCAGUUAAAUCCCCCUCCCCGACAACAGACUAACAGGUCCCAUUUUGAUAUCAAGGGCUGGGGUUUCAAGACAGGGAACUGUGGGGCCCACGCUGUCCUGGCCUCCCUGGAGGCCUGGCUGCUCUCAUGCCAGGAAGGGAGCUUCCAUUUACUACGGGCCUAGGAUGGCCGCCCCGCUGCCCCCAGCGCUCCCUGGGUGGGUGCGGAUCCUGGCCAGUCCCCCAGACACGCAGUCUGCUGACCAGAAGCAGCGACCUUCGGGGAGAGCCAGCCACCAGCCAGCCACUGCUCCAGAGGCAGGCCUGGGGCCACCCGGGAGGCUUUCCUCACCACGGAAAAUAUUUGCCUUUGGUUGUCGGCUGAUGCCUUGUCUUGUGUCUGAAUGGACAACUGGCUGAUUUCUCUCUCUUUGGAACAGCCAUGAAAUGCGAAGGUGUUUAAGAGUAAAAACCAGGCGAGGGCAACUGGGCCUGGCGUCCAGCUGUUUUGAACAACACUCUUGUUUUUCUCCCAGAGUGAACAGAAUACUUUCUGCGGUUCAGAAUACUCUGUGCACUGGCCCCUCUUCCCAGGCCCCGCCCCAGCCCCCUCAGGCCUCACCUCCAGCUGCUGCAGACCAUUCCAGAACUCCCUCCCUCUUGGCUUCUAGUCACUCAGCAUCUGGGGGAGAGAGCCUCUUCCAGCUGUACAUAGCUAGCUUGGCCUGGCCCCAGAACUGCUGUGUUCUGGAAAGUUGUAGGAGAAUCCCUCUUGGCGGGCUCUCCAGCAUGGAGAAUCGCAGGCCUCUGCUCCGGAAAGGGAGGCUUUUGAGAGGUCAGAUUCACCACAGCCAGACCAAUGAACUGUGAGGGCUCAUAGGGGCUGGGGCUCCGGUUUCAGGGGUGAGAGGAGCCACCAUCUGCCCCCAUGCCCACUCUGAUUGUAAAUGGCUAGACUCUGGUGCCGGGGUCAGCUCUGGAUUCAUAUCCCAGCUCCUGCAUAUGUAUAUGCUGGGUGACCUUGGGCAGUUUACUUAACCUCUCUGUGCUUUGUGUGCCUAAGCUGCAAGAUACUCUAAAUUAAACAGCAAACUUUCAGUGCUGUUGUGGGACGAAAUGGGAUAAUGUGCUUGGUAGCUGGCAGGGGCUCAAUAAAAGGUAGCAACUUCCAGGGCCACCAGUUCAUGGGGAGCCAGGUCCAAGUCUUGUACUUUCUAUGCCUCCCAGGGAGCCACGUAUGUCUGCGACAGAGCUGGGGAGGACAUUCUGGGGCUGAGGGUUGAGGUCUGCCCAUAGAGCAGCGGCCUGUACCUGCAGGCAGGUAGAGUAUCAUCCUGGCUGAGUCUCAGUGCUCCUCAAACAUUAAAGUGUACAUCCUGGUGAGACGCAGAUUUUGAUGCAGCGGGUCAGGUGGGACAGGGGUUCUGCAGCUGUAAGGAACUCCCAGGUCAAGCCAGUGUGGCAGGUCUGUGACCGCAGCUGGUACGGCAAGAUCUCAGCCCUGGAAGACUCUGGGUUCUGCUGAGGCUGGGCUCAGAGAGAGAAUACAAGUUUUGUCCUGUCCAAGGAGCACCCUCCAGGAUUUCAGGACAAGGCUCUGGCUCUGUGUCCCCAAGCCCUCAGUCUCAGAGCUUGGGUCCUGCAGUGGCCUGGGCAACCCUCCGGACUCUCCAUUCAGCAUUUGUUCCUGACAGCAGUGCACGGAUAAAGAGCAGUUUCAUGCUGCUGAACUUGCAAUCACUUCAAGGCCUGGGCCCCUCUGGGCCUCAGUUUCCCCACUGGCACAGUGGGAAGCUGGGAUAAGCUAAUCCCACCCUUUCCCCUUGGUAAUUCCCCACAUUGCUCUUCCCUUCCCUUCAUCCCUUCCCAAAACACAGGUCUGAGGCCUGAGCAUCCAUCCUAGGGGCUGGGCCCCCAUCCCCAUGACUGCAGUCAUGGGGUACAAGACUCAUGCAGACUCGUAAGAACAGCCACUUCUGACCUGGGGCCUCGAUGUUCCAGGCACUGUCCUAGGCAUUUGCAUCUACAAACUUCUCACCAUAAUCCAAUCACCACUGUUUUACAGAUGAGGAAACUGAGCCCCACGGGGUGAAGCCUAUUGCCUGAGAUCUUGCAGUUGGUAACGGGUGCAGGCUGGACUCAGGCCCCCACACAUGCCCAGGCCCUUGAGUAUUUGUAAGGGAAGCAGCUGUUUGGUUUUCUUGGCACAGAGCAUCUGCCUAGCUGGUGAGGGCAUGGGGAAAGAGGUGCCCAAUCUAGUUGGGGAUGGGAGGGUAAAAUGGUACUACCUCUUUGGAGAGCUUUCUGGCAAUAUGGACCCAAAUGCAAAUUACAUGUGCCCUCUAACCUGGGCCCGAAGUCAUCUGCACAAGGCUACCAACUGCAAUGUCCUUUGCAGCAGCAAAACACGGGAUCCCCUAGCUGUCCAUCCAAGGGGGAUGAGGGAGAUACAUCUGGGAGGUUCUAUUGGCUGAGUACUCAGAGAAUGGAAGCACCACAUGGAUUAAUUGGAGCAGUCUUCAAGUUGGUGAAAAAAAGUGCAGUGUAGAAAGUGUGUACAGGGCCGGGUGCAGUGGCUCACACUGUAAUGCCAGCACUUUGGGAGGCUAAGGCAGGAGGAUUGCUUGAGCAUAGGAGUUUGAGACCAGCCUGGGUAACAUGGGGAGAUCCUACCUCUACAAGAAAAAAAAUGAACUAGGCAGGUGAGGUGGUGUUUGCCUGCGGUCCCAGCUACUUGGGAAGCUGAGGUAGGAGGAUUGCUUGAGCCCAUGAAGUCAGGCUGCAGUGAGCUGUGACUGCACCACUGCACAGUCUGGGCGACAGAGCAAGACCCUCUCUCA